CCCGGAAACGGAAGUUGGGGCUCUAGCGCUCUCCUCCUGCCUGUAAUCCUGCCAUCGCCCCAGAGAGUCGCCACAGAGGAGCCGCUCCCUCCGGAGCCCGAGUGACCCCUCUCCUCCCAGGCCCCUCCGGGCUCGGUGUCGGGGCAGUCACAGGGAUGAGAACCUCCUUCCUGCCCCUUUAUCGCUCCCUCUCCAGGUGAGGCUCCGAGGAGGAGAAAUGGCCGCCAGGCUCCGUCCCCCCUGACUCUUCCUCGGGCCUCGGGGUCAGAAAAGCGGCUGGAUCCGGGAGGACCCUGGCGGCCCGAGUGACAAAGGCCGCUUUUCUUCCUGCGCUGGAAUCACGUCAUGUUGUUAAACCGCAUUUGGGGGCAAUUGUUCCAAUUCAUGGUUGGGACAGGAGGUCUGAAAUCAAACAGACAAUUCCAGACAGUUGGAAGAUAGACCUCAUUUGACAUCAGAUUAUCCAUACUGUGAAAGAUCUUAAGAACGUAAUGACUAUGGGAAGACUUUCUGCCUGACUACAGCUCUUAUCUAAGGGAUGUGUCGAGGGUUAGGAUUGACUACCUAUCAAUUACAACCAUUAAAUGACACUUUAAGGAGAGACACUGUUUUAAACUCACCACGCCAGCUUACAAAAAAAGCUCACAAGUCUUUCAGAGAACUUGAACUGACUUUAUCCAAUGUGGUUGAAUGUCAUUCAAAAACCCUUGGAAAUAUCCGUUUUUGCUACACAAGAGGCACCCACAGCAGUCCUUCAUCAAGCAGACAGUGUGUGAUAGAGUGGGUGAACCUCCCAACACAACCAGAACAAACUCUUAAUCUUUACCCAGUGCCUAUGGCUAGAAUUUUAUUAAAAGCCAUUGAGCGAGCAGUACAGUUAACUGGGAUAAGAUAUACACCUUUUAUACUAAUGCACAAAUUAAUGUAUGCUGUGAAACCGUCCCAGAGUGGCAAAUUUUAUUAGCUAUGGCUCCAAAUUUUACACACGGGACUCCAUUAAAGAGAACCAGACUAUUACAUAAUUGACAGUGGAUUCUUGAAGAAAAGGUUUUUAAAGGUCCUCUUAAAGGACCAACUCUCUUUACAGAUGCAUCCAAACGGAAUAUUUGUGCUGUAUACUCUUGUGACUUAACUGUAAAGAGAGUACUCAGAAUUCCUUUUCAGUCCACUCAGCAGAAUGAAUUGUAUGCGAUCAUUCUAACUCUUAUUUAUUAUCCAGGAGGGAUAAAUAGAGUAUCUGAUUUAGCUUGUUCAGUAGGUGUGGUACAAAAAAUUGCCAUAGCCCAAAUAAAAUUUGUAACCUCUAAUAUAUAUCAGCCCUUUUAGGAACUUCAAGAGCAAGUGAGAAAGCAUCCAGGUAAGAUUGAUAUCUUGCAGGUCCACUCACACAGUGGACAGGCAACCCUAGAGAACUUGUAAAUCUAGCUCUUUAUACUACUUCUUGAUGUUUGACAAUGUGCAUUGGCUGUGGCAGGCAGGUUUUAUAACCCACCGGAAGGGCAGUGUCCAGUGCAAGCCUCUCCAUUAUCUUUAAUCGCCAGGUGAUGUGGAGAGGCCCAGAAAGUGGUGAAUGGAAGGGACCCGAUAUGUUAACUGCUUGGGGGAGAGGGUUUGUUUGUAUCUCCACAAAUGGAGAAGGAAUCAGAUGGGUGCCAAUGAGCCAUAUUCACCUUGUCCACCAGAAAGAGAUGGAGCACACUUUGAAAGGCAGCCCAAGAAUCUCAUUCUAAAUAUCAUCAGGCUGCUCGAGCUUUACUCUUAUAAUUUGGAAUAACAAGAGAGGAGGCUAGGAGCAUAGUAAAAACCUGUACAGCUUGCCUGCUUUCCACGCUCCUACACUGCCUCCAGAGAAGAACCCUUGUGGUUUGAGACCCAUUGAAAUGUGGCAAAUGGAUUUGACCCAUUAUAAAUCUUUUGGUCGUAUGUCUUUUUUCCAUGUUGUGGUAGACACCUUUUCAGGAUUCACUUUUACAAUACCAGCAGCAAAAGAGACAGCCUGAGUGGUCACUGAAUUCCUUAUACAAGCAUUUGCAAUUAUGGGUGCGCCACAAGCAAGGAAAACAGACAAUGGACCUGCAUAUACUUCUAAACAUUUUGCACACUUUUGUGCACAGUGUAAGAUUUUACACACCACUAGCAUACCUUUUAAUCCUCAAGUACAGGCAAUAGUAGAGAAGAGAAACAGAGACAUUAAGAUGCUCCUCUGAAAACAAAAGUAAGGGGGAGCCACAGAAAACCCUAGAGAACUUGUAAAUCUAGCUCUUUAUACUAUUUCUUGAUGUUUGACAAGGUGCAUUGGCUCUGGCAGGCAGGUUUUAUAACCCACCGGAAGGGCAGUGUCCAGUGCGAGCCUCUCCAUUAUCUUUAAUCGCCAGGUGAUGUGGAGAGGCUCAGAAAGUGGUGAAUGGAAGGGACCCAAUAUGUUAACUGCUUGGGGGAGAGGGUUUGUUGUUAUCUCCACAAAUGGAGAAGGAAUCAGAUGGGUGCCAAUGAGCCGUAUUCACCUUGUCCAUCAGAGAGAGGUGGAGCACACCUUGAAAGGAAGAAGACCCAAGAAACAAUGGUGGUUCCAUUGCUGUCUGUGCUCACCACUGAAUGAGCACGGCAGUUAUGGCGUUUGACUUGUGGACAUCAACAAUUGUAGAACUGCAAAACUCUCAGGAAUCACUGGAUUCUCUGAGAUAUGAAAAGACUGUUGCAGGACUUCAAAAACUUGUGGGAAUCAUUGGAUCCCAUGACAUGUGAAGCAAUGCACAAUAGAUUGAUUUUGGACUAUCUCUUGGCUGCUGAAGAAGGCGUAUGUGUGACUGUUGUUUACAUACCCUUCUUUUAGAACUUGUGGAACUCUUUUACAACACUAUGGUGAUUCAUAUUGUUUGUUAUAUCACUACUUGCAUGUACAAUUGAUGUUUGUUGUACCACCUUGAGCCUGCAGUGGUUGUGCGGAGAGUCAUCACUACUAGCCUGUGCAAUAUUGAUAUGUGCUUGUGUAAUACCUCCCAUGCUGAUGGGUUUGUGCAUACCUGUUUCUAAUAAAACCCUUCAGCCCAGAAA